rnacentral:lncRNA from 1 species
AUUUACUUGCUUGGUAUUUAUCAUUAUUAAUGAUAAAUUAAAAUAAUUAAAAGAGAAAUUUAUUAGUAAUUUAAGUUUUGGGUUACUGUUUCAAUGCUUUAACCAGUUAAACCGCCUAGACAUUGGCAGAUUUCUGAUUUUGGGAUUUGCUGAUGUUUUGGUGGUCUCACUGGUUAAGGCGCCGGAUGAUAACCUAAAGUUCCUGGUUCGACUCCAGGCCAAGGUAAAUUCUUAAUUUCGGGUAAUUUAAGUUUAUAAAAUUUUAUAUGUAAAUACUGAAAGACACACACAUACUGAUGACUUUUUCUUGUAUUGUGAAGAAGCCAUUUAGGUAAAUUCAAUUUUUGAUCGUUAAAGAUAAAACUCUAAUUAGACUCAAAACUUUUGAGUUUGUUUAAAAUUUAACUUAGCUUUGAUUUGAAAAUUUGAGCAGGAUAAAGAACAAAGCCGGCAUACUUCUUUCAAGGACUAAUGUGCUACUACACACAAAAUAGUCUGGCACAAUUUUAAAACUGACACUUUUAAUUUAUAAAAUUAUUCCUUAAAAAGAAAAGUAUUGAGUAAUUUUAUUGUCUUUUGCUGCUGUUAAAAAUGUUUUUGAGCUUUUAUUCAGCUAUCUUCCAAACAACGGAACGUAGAUAUAUUAGAAGUUCUAUUUUCAAACAUGGAGGCUAGCUGUUCAAAUGUAUUGAAUUCUGCAAUCCACAAAUCUCCUAAAUGCUAUAUUCGAAGCAGGUGAAAAGGUCAAACAAUCAAGAGCCCAAACUAAGCAAAUUAUCUCGAAUGUCUACUUGCGUGUUAGAAAAGAUAAUCCAGCACUAUCAAUGGAAGAAGUUUCAAAGGUCUCAAGGCUCAUUGGAGUGGCUUCUUACACAGUCUUCUCAGCGAAAAGGGAAUGGCAUACAAAAGACAGCUUGCUUCA